GCUCGUGUAGUGUAGUGGCGAUCACGCAUGAUUUUGAUUCAUGAUGUCCCUGGUUCAAACCCAGGCACGAGCU
rnacentral:tRNA from 1 species